AUGAGAUUCUUCGAUGAAAGACAUCUAAGUUUCAUCAAGUUUGUUACAUUUAAGUUUCAUCAGCAACAAUUGGCGGAAGAUCUGAAAAGAACACAUCGAAACAUUCUCAAACUUAUUCACCUUCUCUUGUUCAGUUUAACAAGCUUCUAUAUAUUUGUUAAGGUAUCCUUUAAGAAACCUUUGGUUGAAGAAACAAAGUACAUUUUUGGCUUGUUAUCCAUUGUUAGUAUAACCAUAGAUGUCUCAAUUUCGAUCUCAUGA